AUGGGUAGACGAAGAAAAUGAAGAAUGCAUUGUGAUUUUGACUUUGUUCCGACAUGUUCUGCAAUUUCAUUCCAAUUCUCAUUGUAAACCUCCAUUGCCUCAAGCAGCAAUAGUGUUUCUUGAUCACUCCAACUUUCUCCAUCUAAAUCACUAUAAUCCUUUGUUGCAUCCAUCUUUAUAAAAUCCAAGCUUGAAUGAUUGGUCACAAACCUCCCCUCAUGGAAGCAGUCAGAGCAUAGAAGUACAUCGAUCUCCUUCUGUGACUGAAAGUAUAUGCCAGGAAGAUGCUGAGAACAAUAAGUGCAACAAUUUUCUGAAAUACGUUCUCGAAUUCUGUUGUCCAAGUCAGAGAAAUCAUCAUCAUGACAUGACAAUGAUGAAUAGACGUCAGCUGCCUUGAGCCUACAUUUAGGCUUGUCAAAUUUGAUCAAACUAUCAAU
rnacentral:misc_RNA from 1 species